rnacentral:rRNA from 1 species
CCUACGGGAGGCAGCAGUGGGGAAUAUUGGGCAAUGGACGCAAGUCUGACCCAGCAACGCCGCGUGAAGGAAGAAGGCUUUCGGGUUGUAAACUUCUUGGAAGGGGGAAGAGCAGAAGACGGUACCCCUUGAAUAAGCCACGGCUAACUACGUGCCAGCAGCCGCGGUAAUACGUAGGUGGCAAGCGUUGUCCGGAUUUACUGGGUGGAAAGGGCGUGCAGCCGGGAAGACAAGUCAGAUGUGAAAUCCCGCGGCUCAACCGCGGAACGGCAUUUGAAACUGUUUUUCUUGAGUAUCGGAGAGGUCAUCGGAAUUCCUAGUGUAGCGGUGACCUGCGUCGAUAUUAGGCAGAACCCCAGUGGCGACGGCGGCUUACUGGACGACAACUGACGGUGAGGCGCGAAAGCGUGGGGAGCACACAGGAUUAGAUACCCGAGUAGUC